UAAUAAGUGUUUUAUGGCACUUUUUAAAUCCAUAUCCACCUUGUGUGCAAUGUCAGUCGAUCUUCUUUCAUGGAGAUCGACCAAACAUCAACCUUUAUUUUUUAACUCUUUGUCUGAAAAAUAUUAUGAAUAAACAAUUCAAAAUA
rnacentral:misc_RNA from 1 species